rnacentral:ncRNA from 1 species
AUUAUUACGAGUUUGAUCCUGGCUCCGGAAGAACGCAAGAGAUGUGCUUAACACAUGCUAAUUGAAUGGUAUUAAUAUAUCAUAGUGUAAUAGUGAGUAAUGUAUGAGAA